UGUGUAUCGUGUGGUUCAUUGCCCCGUGUUCAGAAAACCUUUUGCUCUCCCACCAUUACUAUAUUCAAAGGUUACAGAUGUGAUUAGACAAGUCCUCAAAAGUGUUCCUUCCGUUAAUAGUAUACAGACCUUAUCAAUCUGUCACUAGAACUAUAAAAGCAUCCUUAAAAGUUCCCUUCACUUCAACUGGAGCGACAGAGAAGUGUUUCAGAAUACGGAACAUGCUCGGAACCUCAGAGUGCGUUUCGCCAUCCGGAGCCUACAGUGACCGCAGAGCUAGUCAUAAUUCAGUGGGGUGAGGCGACUCGCUAUACCUUUUCUUGUGAGUUAAGCUUACCAUCUCGGGCUUCUGGACGUUGUAUCUAAGAUUAUCUAUAUAAAUUGACCACAAUAAAUAUCCGUUUCAAGCAGAAGGACCCCGUUGUGACCUAAUCUGUGCCUGCUGCGGGUUACGAAUGUGGCGGCGCUGACCAAUGCAAGUCCGUCUGUGUGGUGGCAGGACAGUCGGCUAUACUGACUUGGCAACGUUGUAAGCAUCAGUUUCCUGUUCCCUUUGAUGUGGACGCACGGCAGCCAAAGCGCUGGGUCGAGAAUUUGUUUCCUGAAAAAUCUAGGCAGAGCUGCUCAAGGAUGGUUGUUUUUUAUAGUCGUGUGGUGCCAGGAAGCCUUGUAAGGAUGGAUGCCUCAGCGUGUGGGUAUCUUCCCUGGCAGAAGUGAUCGAGUUACGGAGAGGCAAGGGGAAUGUUGGUCAGGGGCUGGUUGGAGUACUUGCGUUCUGUGCCUCACUGACUACCUGGGCCUGAAUUGGUGAGUCAGUAUGGACGAGGGUGGAGAGCAAGGCUUCCCUACACUCCUCGCUGCUGAUGGCUAACACUGGGAACAAGAAGUCUGUCGCUGAGCUACAGAAGUAGAAAAAUCCUUGGGUCAGUGCAGGCACCAACCUCGCCUUCUUUCUGUGCUGUCUUCCU